UACGUAGGGCGCAAGCGUUGUCCGGAAUUAUUGGGCGUAAAGAGCUCGUAGGCGGUUUGUCACGUCGGCUGUGAAAACCCGAGGCUCAACCUCGGGCCUGCAGUCGAUACGGGCAGACUAGAGUGCUGUAGGGGAGACUGGAAUUCCUGGUGUAGCGGUGAAAUGCGCAGAUAUCAGGAGGAACACCGGUGGCGAAGGCGGGUCUCUGGGCAGUAACUGACGCUGAGGCGCGAAAGCUUGGGUAGCAAACGGG
rnacentral:rRNA from 1 species